AGUGAACGCUGGCGGUAGGCCUAACACAUGCAGGUCGAACGGCAGCACAGUAAGAGCUUGCUCUUACGGGUGGCGAGUGGCGGACGGGUGAGGAAUACAUCGGAAUCUACUUUUUCGUGGGGGAUAACGUAGGGAAACUUACGCUAAUACCGCAUACGACCUACGGGUGAAAGCAGGGGAUCUUCGGACCUUGCGCGAUUGAGUGAGCCGAUGUCGGAUUAGCUAGUUGGCGGGGUAAAGGCCCACCAAGGCGACGAUCCGUAGCUGGUCUGAGAGGAUGAUCAGCCACACUGGAACUGAGACACGGUCCAGACUCCUACGGGAAGCAGCAGUGGGGAAUAUUGGACAAUGGGCGCAAGCCUGAUCCAGCCAUACCGCGUGGGUGAAGAAGGCCUUCGGGUUGUAAAGCCCUUUUGUUGGGAAAGAAAAGCAGCAGGUUAAUACCCCGCUGUUCUGACGGUACCCAAAGAAUAAGCACCGGCUAACUUCGUG
rnacentral:rRNA from 1 species